CGAGGGUCGGGCUGCCCGAGCCGCCGCCAUUAGGGACGUUGACUCUGUUGCAGGCGCUGAGGUUGCUCCCUCCCGCCGCCAUCUUGAAGUGGCAUCUGUUUACAAACAGCGAGCUCCACAGCAUGGCCCUCCUUAAAGGAGGCUGUGGGUGAGGCAAUGUUGGGAGAUGAAAUUCAUCACUGGAUAUGAAUUAGGAACAGGAACCUUGGCUGUUUGUUUCCUCUAUCUCAUAGCACAAAGGCAACUGUAGCCUCUCUAAGUAAUGCACCAGAACCAUUGGAAUACAGAAAUUUCAGAAAACUAGCACGUCACGCACACUGGUGAGAGUCCAGCUACCUCUGGUGCACUGUGAAAAAUGCUGCCUGACCUGCUGGGUGUUUUCAGCAUUCUCAACUUCACACCAGCAUCUUUGCCUGGGAUUCACCACCACCCACUUGUCCAUAUCUGCAUCCACACCUCCCGCUCCACUUCUCCAGAGAGCACCGUGCCAGAUUUACAACCACACUUUCAUUGAAGUCAAAUUCAUUUGGCUCAGGAUUGACUGGAAUCUAAACUGGGCUAAUAAUGUUGGAACUGUAUUACUGAUCCAAUGUUCUUCAUCACUGCUAUGGAUGUGGUACCAUUUUCCUUGGCUGCAGAUUAGUGACAUGGUUUCCCAUCGCCAGCCAUUACUGUCCUUCCUCACCAAAGACCACCUGGCAGCCAAGAAUAAAAACUCACAAGUGGAUGCUCAUAGAAAAAAAUGGAAGCUGUGUUAAUCCAGAGCAAGGAAACGCUCUGUCCAAUAUUAAAGCAGUAAGAUUCAUUUCACCAGGAGCUCAAGGUAUCACAGAACUGUAUAAUAAUGUUUUUAAUUCCAAAUUAACAGAUUCAUAUCACUACUACUAUCAGACUGCCAUGAAAACUCAUCUGGUUCAAUGCCCUCAAGGGAAGGAAAUUUUCCAUCCUUAUUUAGUCUGACCUAUGCAACAAUGUACUUGACAUUCAUCUGCCCUCUGAAAUGUUUCUGCAAACCUCUCAGUUGCCCCCAUCAUCACCUCAACAGUAAUUGUGCUUCGGCAUUUAAAUAAAGGAAAAAUAUUGCAGAAGUUGGAAGCCUGAAUUAAAAUAGAAAAUGGGGGGGGGAGAAAUAAAAAUGUCAACUCAAAAUGUUCAUUCUGUUUCUCUCUACAGAAAGGUGCCAGUAUCCAAAAGAGAAUCAAAA